UGAACGAACCGGAAUGGAUUCGUUUACUCAAGUGAACGACAAAUCUCGUCACUAGUGGUUGCAUCAGCGCUCGGUAGAAUGUAAACACAGAGCGCGAUCACGUGACUGAAUUCCCUCGGCAGAUAGUACGGCCAGAGACUAACAGCAAGCAGUUCCAAGUCCCGACAACAUAUGACUUUUUUGACAGUGACGUGACCUGUGUUACACCAGCCGUUGGUAAUGUACAUGAUGAGAGCCCCACCUUUGCUUUUUCCGCAAGCUUUCGCAUCUCUGUCGGCUCUCACCACAGUAAACCCAGAAAUGUCAACGUUAGCGUCCGGUAUCAGUUCAACCUUGGCAGACCUGGGAGCGCACCUGCAGCUCAUCACAAUCAACACUGCUUUUAAGGAGCGGCAUGGGCAGCAAGCAGGUGCCAGAUGAAUUUGCCAGUCCCCAUUGGACACCCACCCUCCAAGCCCUCACAGCCACAGCCUGAACCUCAGCCUGAACCUCAGUCACAGCCUCAGCCACAGCCAUUUACCAUUCAACCCACCAGCCGCUCAGCACCUUGCCCUUGUGUAAUAAAUAUCACUUCACACUUCAUGUGUUUCCGGCUCGCAUUUUGGUCCACAUCAACUUUGCCUACCUUGCUGUAACACAUAUUUCUUCCAUUUAUCCUCCCGUGUAGUGAUGAUGGCAGAUGGAUGUGGUAUUUCCAAAUUGUCUUUUUUGAGGGAUUUUGAUGGAUGAUGCCACUCCACUUACUGUUAGGUUUCUGAGUGAGCGGGGGACCCAAGCGCAGAGAAGCAAGGCAAGGUGGCAGUGGUGACAAUUGUUUAUUGCUUUAUGUGAAGGCAGUCCUUGUCCAGAUAGUCAGGCGGGCGAUUAGUAGUGAUGUUAUGCUCGAAGCAGACGCUCGAGACAAGUGUCGAGCGCUCGCGGCAACACGUAUCCCGAUACGUUGUACUGAUGUCUCGCUUCGUUCAGUGGAAAAACACCUGGCCGCGGAAGCGAAGCGUUGUGAUGUCACACGCGUGUCGGCCGUGACCGUGGACGUGUCACUCAGGUAGCGAGGGGUCGAGUCAGUCAAUUUGGUUCAAACUCACAAUGCUUAUGAAAAGGGGAAAUAUCGCUCAAAAUGUUGUGGGUUGUGAGGAGAGCUUUUGUGCGCAUUACGUCAUAUUGAGAACGAGGGAGAGAAAAGUGAAAUUAGAUCAGAUUACACAUUAGAUUAAUUUGCAAAUGCACAUAGUAUAGGCAUUCAUUGACACUAUACACUGAUUUAUACAAUACGCACACACACACGCACCCCCCAAACACACACGUUAGUUUUUGUGUCUAUCAGUUUGUCAGUUUUUGUGUUUGUCUAUCUGCCAGUUUGUAAAUUUCUUCGUGCCAUGUGAGAGAAUAUUCUCAAAAGCUGGAGAGGUCAUUAGCAAAAAGAGGAACCAGCUGAAACCAAAUGCUGCUGAGAUGAUUUUGUUUUUAAAUAAAAAUUUGUGAAACACCCAAAUCCCCAUCCCAGUGUCACUAGCAUUCUAUACA